CUGUGCUUUACUAUUUUGAAUUUUUGAUACUUGAAUUCAGAUGUUGAUCAAAUAAUGCAUUUUAGUCUCAUUUUUCUUCGAAAAAAAAACACUGAAGAAAUACAGGUACGUAGACAUGUUUCUAGCUUGUCAAAAACCAAAGUAACAAUAAAAUUAAAGUUCUUUACAGUAAUUUGAAAAAUGCCGUGGAAACUGCCAAAAUUGCCGUAGACAGCUGUUACGUUCUACGGCAAUUUUUAGCACCAUUGCCGUCGAUUGAUUUCAGGGAAAUUCGAGGCCUGAUCCGCAUGUAAAGUUGCGCUGUAGAAAUGUUAAUCGUAAUCGUAUUAACUCAGGG
rnacentral:lncRNA from 1 species